rnacentral:lncRNA from 1 species
CUGAGAUGAAGACUGCUUGAGCCAGGGAGGGCAAGGCUUCAUUCUUAAUGAUGUUCCCUGAAAUAAAGCGGGGGAAGGUAAGGGAAGGACAAAGGACACAUGGCAUGAUGAAACCACCCACAAAGUUAACAAGGCAGAAAUCAGCUCUUCCAUGUCCUGGGGGACCCUAGACGGGUCUGCGAUCUCUGACUCCAUUUCUCUGUCUGUAAAAUGGAGUUGACAAUUCCUACCUUUAAGGUUGCUGUGAAGAUGAAAUGAAACUCAUGCAUGGCCCGUCAUGGCAAACAGGCUAUCAAAAACGGAUCGGGCAUCUGACUGCCUGCACUUGAAUCGCAGCUCAAGCAGAUCCUACCCACGUGACCCUGACAAGCUCCUCAGCCUCAAUUAGCUGCAGUUUCCUUAUCUGUAAGGCAGGGAUGGCUUACCUGGUUUUUGUGAGCAUUAAAUGAGAAUUCACCAAAAGACGCUGAGCACAGUGGCUGGUAUGUAGAGUACUCAAUAAGUAUUAACUGUUGUUAUUAUUUAAAAUGUUGGCCUGGCGCAUUCCUGUAAUCCCAGCACUUUAGGAGGCAGAGGCGGGUGAAUCACUUGAGGCCAGGAGUUCAAGAUCAGCCUGGACAACAUGGUGAAACCCCAUCUCUACCAAAAAUACAAAAAUUAGCCAGGCAUGGUGGCACCUGCCUGUAAUCGCAGCUACUCAGGUGGCUGAGGUAGGAGACUAGCUUAAACCUGGGAGGUGGGGCUUGCAGUAAUCUGAGAUUGUGCCACUGCACUCCAGCCUGGGCAACAUGGCAAGACCCUGUCUCAAAAAAAAUUUUUUUUUAAAUUAAAAACAAAAUGUCAAGCAUAGCUAGGCACAGUGGCACACGCCUGUAAUCCCAGCACUUUGGGAGGCAGAGGCAGGAGGAUCAUUUAAGCCCACAAGUUCAAGACCAGCCUGGGCAACACAGUGAGAGCUUCUUGUCUCUACAAAAAUUUUAAAAAUUAGUGAGGCGUGAUGUCAUGCACCUGUAGUCUCACCUACUCAGGAGGCUAAGGUGGGAGGAUCGCUUGAGCCACAGAGGUUGAGGCUGCAGUGGGUUGUGAUUGUGCCACUGCACUCUGGCCUGGGUGACAGAGAGAGACCCUGUGUCAAAAAAUAAAAUAAAUGAAAUACCAAGCAUAAUGCUUGUUAUGUAGAAAGUGUUUCGGGAGCUGUUAUCUUAUUAUUUUUCUACUCCUGCCUCAUUCUCUGUGAAGCCAGCCUCGAUCCCUCCUUCCAGAAUCAGUAACUCUCUUGGGAAUGUUCCAACCAUACUCUUUCAGCUCCACCAGGCAUUCAUUGCAAUCUUUAGUAACCCACAGUGGACUGAGUCCAUGCUUGCUGGGCCAUUAUACAAUGAUCUCCUUAAGGAGAGGUGGUGAGCGUGACAGAGCUCAAGUGAGUGUCUGUGUGUUUGGAGUGAGUGGGUGAAGGAAAUUCCUGCUGUUUCCAAGAGCCUCAUAGUCACACUCCUCAUUACACACAUCAGUCUCUCCAGAAUUCAUUGACAAAACACCUGGAUUCACAUCUCAGCUGCACCAUUUACUAGCGAUGUGUUCUCU